rnacentral:lncRNA from 1 species
AUUUACGAAAAAAAGCUAUGAGGGGUUUCAAUCUGAAAAGAGACAAUUCCUUAUAGAGCAAGGACUUUUUGAGCAACGCAUGAAAGAUGUUAUACUUAGAGAGGAGAGGAAUAAGGAUAGAUUAGAGGAGCUUGAAUCAAGAGAGAAACAUUUUGAGGAUCGGUGUAGAGAGCUCAGAGAGAAGGAGAAACAGUUGAAUGGUAUUCCUAAUGUGCACUUAAAGACAGAAGCUACUGAAGAU